rnacentral:lncRNA from 1 species
GAGUAGCAAAAAUGCCAGAGAACAGUUUACAGGGCUUACCUUUACCUUCUUACAAUAUUAGAAUUCUCGUGUCUUCAUGAUUUGCAGGGACCAAGGAAAACAGCACAGCGCUGGCUUUAACAAUACUUCGCUGGUUGAACACGAAGAAUACCCGGUUCAACCAGACUAGAGGGGGGAGUGGUUGAUGAGGAGUGAUAUGUGCAGAGUAGGGAAAUGAUGCAAAUCAGAGGAAUCGGCCCCACCAGCAGAACGAGUAUGGCAGAAGAAGCGCACGCGUCAGAGGAAUCAUCCUCACCAGAGGAGUCAUACUUGCCAGAGGGACCAUUCUCACCAGAGGGAUCUCAUGCACCAUAGGCAUCUCACCUACCAGAGGAAUGGCUCUUGCCAGAGGAAUCAUGUUCGCCAGAGGAGUCACCAUCG